AGCGCAGGCGGGCUUACAAGUCGGUGGUGAAAUCCUACAGCUUAACUGUAGAACUGCCUCCGAUACUGCAAGUCUUGAGUGUGGAAGAGGGCGAUGGAAUUCAUGGUGUAGCGGUGAAAUGCGUAGAUAUCAUGAAGAACACCGGUCGCGAAGGCGGUCGCCUGGUCCAUUACUGACGCUCAUGCUCGAAAGUGUGGGGAGCAAACAGGAUUAGAUACCCUGGUAGUCCACACCUUAAACGAUGAAUACUUGGUGUCGGGCCGAAAGGUUCGGUGCCAAAGCUAACGCAUUAAGUAUUCCACCUGGGGAGUACGAUCGCAAGGUUGAA
rnacentral:rRNA from 1 species